AAUCCGGGUUGCGGACAGUGUCUGGUGGGUAGUUUGACUGGGGCGGUCUCCUCCUAAAGAGUAACGGAGGAGCACGAAGGUUGGCUAAUCCUGGUCGGACAUCAGGAGGUUAGUGCAAUGGCAUAAGCCAGCUUGACUGCGAGCGUGACGGCGCGAGCAGGUGCGAAAGCAGGUCAUAGUGAUCCGGUGGUUCUGAAUGGAAGGGCCAUCGCUCAACGGAUAAAAGGUACUCCGGGGAUAACAGGCUGAUACCGCCCAAGAGUUCAUAUCGACGGCGGUGUUUGGCACCUCGAUGUCGGCUCAUCACAUCCUGGGGCUGAAGUAGGUCCCAAGGGUAUGGCUGUUCGCCAUUUAAAGUGGUACGCGAGCUGGGUUUAGAACGUCGUGAGACAGUUCGGUCCCUAUCUGCCGUGGGCGCUGGAGAACUGAGGGGGGCUGCUCCUAGUACGAGAGGACCGGAGUGGACGCAUCACUGGUGUUCGGGUUGUCAUGCCAAUGGCACUGCCCGGUAGCUAAAUGCGGAAGAGAUAAGUGCUGAAAGCAUCUAAGCACGAAACUUGCCCCGAGAUGAGUUCUCCCUGACUCCUUGAGAGUCCUGAAGGAACGUUGAAGACGACGACGUUGAUAGGCCGGGUGUGUAAGCGCAGCGAUGCGUUGAGCUAACCGGUACUAAUGAACCGUGAGGCUUAACCUUACAACGCCGAAGGUGUUU
rnacentral:rRNA from 1 species